GAUGAAGAACGCAGCGAAAAGCGAUACUUGGUGUGAAUUGCAGAAUCCCGUGAACCAUCGAGUUUUUGAACGCAAGUUGCGCCCGAAGCCGUUAGGCCGAGGGCACGCCUGCCUGGGUGUCACAAAUCGUUGCCCCAAUGCCAAUCGCCUCACUUUGUAGGUAUUUGCUUGGGGUGAAUGUUGGCCUCCCGUGAGCUUUGUCUCACGGUUGGUUGAAAAUCGAGUGCAUGGUGUCGGGUGUACCAUGAUGGAUGGUGGUUGAGUGAUGAUGCUCGAGACCAAUCAUGGGUAACUCCACCAGAAUUGGGCUCGGUGACCCACAUGCGUCCCUUGGAUGCUCCCUAAGGAGACCUCAGGUCAGGCGGGGCUACCCGCUGAGUUUAAGCAUAUCAAUAAGCGGAGGA
rnacentral:misc_RNA from 1 species